rnacentral:rRNA from 1 species
AACGAACGCUGGCGGCAUGCCUAACACAUGCAAGUCGAACGCGUGUAGCAAUACACGAGUGGCGGACGGGUGAGUAACGCGUGGGAACCUGCCCAGUGGUAGGGAAUAACUGCGGGAAACUGCAGCUAAUACCCUAUACGCCCUUUGGGGGAAAGAUUCAUCGCCAUUGGAGGGGCCCGCGUCGGAUUAGCUAGUUGGCGGGGUAAUGGCCCACCAAGGCAACGAUCCGUAGCUGGUCGAGAGGAUGAUCAGCCACACUGGGACUGAGAUACGGCCCAGACUCCUACGGGAGGCAGCAGUGGGGAAUAUUGGACAAUGGGGGAAACCCUGAUCCAGCAAUGCCGCGUGAGUGAAGAAGGCCUUGGUU